rnacentral:lncRNA from 1 species
GUAAGGAGAUACGCUUGUGGUGUUGAAUAGGAUUGGCAUUUUACGAAGACAGAUUCUUUUGAUCUUCUUUUAGUCAACAUGCAACUUGGAGUAGUCCAAAGUUCUCGUUUCUUUGUUGAUUCUUCUUCACAUCAUGUGAAUCAAGUUGGUUGUUCCAUGAUCUUCUUUUAGUCAACAUGCAACUUGGAGUAGUCCAAAGUUCUCGUUUCUUUGUUGAUUCUUCUUCACAUCAUGUGAAUCAAGUUGGUUGUUCCAUGAUCU